rnacentral:tRNA from 1 species
GUAUAUAUAGCUCAGUGGUAGAGCGCGUGCUUAGCAUGCAAAAGGUCCUGGGUUCAAUCCCCAGUACCUCCA